UGCUAGUUGUGCGGGUUUAGACCCGCAGCGGAAAGCUCAGUAACACGUGGCCAAACUACCCUGUGGAUGGGAACAAUCUCGGGAAACUGAGGCUAAUUCCCAAUAACGCUCCACCCCUGGAACGGGCGGAGCUGGAAACGCUACGGCGCCACAGGAUGUGGCUGCGGUCGAUUAGGUAGACGGUGGGGUAACGGCCCACCGUGCCAAUAAUCGGUACGGGUUGUGAGAGCAAGAGCCCGGAGACGGAAUCUGAGACAAGAUUCCGGGCCCUACGGGGCGCAGCAGGCGCGAAACCUUUACACUGUACGCAAGUGCGAUAAGGGGACUCCGAGUGUGAAGGCAUAGAGCCUUCACUUUUGUACACCGUAAGGUGGUGUACGAAUAAGGGCUGGGCAAGACCGGUGCCAGCCGCCGCGGUAAUACCGGCAGCCCGAGUGAUGGCCGAUAUUAUUGGGCCUAAAGCGUCCGUAGCUGGCCGGACAAGUCCGUUGGGAAAUCUGUUCGCUUAACGAGCAGGCGUCCAGCGGAAACUGUUCGGCUUGGGACCGGAAGACCUGAGGGGUACGUCCGGAGUAGGAGUGAAAUCCUGUAAUCCUGGACGGACCACCGGUGGCGAAAGCGCCUCAGGAGGACGGAUCCGACAGUGAGGGACGAAAGCUAGGGUCUCGAACCGGAUUAGAUAUCCGGGUAGUCCUAGCUGUAAACGUG
rnacentral:rRNA from 1 species